CUGACAGAUAGUGGGAGGAGCUGUUGUUUCUACAUAAGCUGAUCUUUCACAGGCUUGAAGAGGUGCUUGAAAACUGGACAAAGACUACAUCUCUGAAAAAUGAACCAUCAUCAAAACCCUCCAUGCUGGACAUGUGGACAUGAUUGUUAUUCUUAUCGACAAAGACAAGUGAUACCUGCUCAGGCAUCGUUUCCAGCACAAAACAACGACACAAGGUCCAUGCCCUUGCCAAGAAAUGGUG